CGUGCGGCGCAGGUCCGGGACCUCACUCCGACAGCCGGUAUCACCCCGCCCCCAUUAUCCGUUUCCCCAGCAGGGUCGGUUCCACGUCCCCCCAGUACCUUCCUCCUCCCGGCCGGUCUCCGGAAUUCCCCCACCCUCCAGCAUCCCCCCCUAUCCCGUGGGUUCCUCAUUACCCCAGUAUCCCCUCUUUACUGGGUCAGUCUCCCAUUCCCCCAGAUCCUUCUUUCUGGCCGGUCUAUCGUCCGCCCAGUAUUCCCGUUCCCCGUCAGAGUCAGUUCCACGUCCCCCUCCCCGCCCCGUCGGUGCCGCGCUCAGCCUCACGCGGUGCCGCUUCCCGCCUGCAUGCCCGCCGGACUGCCAGGCCGCAGUGGGGCGGAGGCUUAGCUGGGAUAGAGGGCCCGGCCAGCACUGGAGGAAGAAGCAAAGUGCCCACAGUGCUGUUACUCUCAGCACCAAAAGAGUUCAGCCUCGUGAGACUACGGAAUUGCUGUGCUGUUAAUAGUAAGGGGAUGUUGUCCACAGGUGCCCUUCUCAACCUUUUAGAAUUUGAAGGGUUUCACCUGAAUUCAAUGAGGGUGAAAGUUUUAGUAACUGCAGUAAGAUCUCGCAAAGGUGAAUCCAAGAGUGAAGGGUGUGGGUUUGUGUGAGGGCCCAGAUCUCUCUGACCUUUUGCUGUCUGGUACAACCACGCAGGAAUGUGGCCGGCUGGAAGGGGGAGGCGGGCGAGGGAGACGAGGAUAGGUGUCAUGUAGGGAGGAGUUAGAGCAUGGGUGUUAAAGGCACAGGAAUCUCAGUUCUACCAGUGCCUGGUGGAAGCUCAGUGUCUACAUUUGUGAAGUGGAACUAGUAAUAGAAUUCACUUUGUGGGAUUGUUGGAAAGAUCAGUUACGCAAGAACCCAUCAAGUUAUGCUUAGCAAGUGAUAAUUAUCCCUCGGACAGAUAGAUAAAGUGAAAAUCAGAGAGGUUAAGGGCACUGCCCCAGUCCAACAGCUUGUCAGGGAUGAUGGAGGCAGUGGAGUCCUGCCUUGCUUCUGUUGUUCCUAUGCUGGGUGCAUUGGUCCGCUGUAGUGUAAGCUGCAAACACCCAGGUAGCCCCUAGGUUGUGCCUUUGGAUUUUGUUGCUCAUUAGCACAGGGAACUAAAGAAGAGAGACUAUAAGCUUUGCUCAAGAUCUUUAGGUGAAUUAAUAAUGGACCAGGCUAACCUAAAACUGUCCUUCUCUUUUGUAGUCCACUACUGGGCAAAGUGAGGGAUGUUUCCGGGUGAGUCCUUUUGUUGUUGGGUUACUGUGCCGAACCCUGACUCCUUUCCCAAAACAAAUACUAAUCUUCCAGUUCCUUGGUAAGAUUAGAUGUAUCUCUGCAUUUUAGGUAAACCUAAGGCUUUCUUUAGUGAGGGUUGAUAUAUUAAAUUUCAAAAGUAGUGGCAGAUGAAGCAGCAAGUUUCAGGCUUGGAGCAAAAGGACACCCAUGUUGAAAGAGCAGAGGCUUUGACGCAGUUGCCUCUGGCACUUGGAUCCCUCUGCACGUUCCCGGCAAGUAUGUGUCCACCCCCUUCCCUGAGUAGGCAUCUCCAGGGCAGCCUGGCCCUACCCUGUUGCACAGCUCUGAUUGUAAUGAUUGUUUAUUUUUAUUUAUUUAUUUAUUUAGAAAGGGAGUCUCACUCUGUUGCCCAGGCUGGAGUGCAGUGGCACGAUCUUGGCUCACUGCAACCUCUGCCUCCCGGGUUCAAGCGAUUUUCCUGCCUCAGCCUCCCGAGUAUCUGGGAUCACAGGCAUGCGCCACCGUGCCCAGCUAAUUUUUGUAUUUUUAGUAGAGAUGAGGUUUCACCAUAUUGGCCAGGCUGGUCUCCAACUCCUAACCUCAAGUGAUCCACUCACCUGAGCCUCCCAAAGUGCUGGGAUUACAGGCGUGAGCCACCACGCCAGAUCGAUUGUUUAUUUUUUUACCUACAGCCGCCAGGCUGUUCUAGACCUAUGCUAUUCAUUCUUUUUUUUGAGACGGAGUUUUGCUCUGUCUCCCAGGCUGGAGUGCAGUAGCGCAAUCUUGGUUCACUGCAACCUCUGCCUCCUGGGUUCAAGCAAUUCUCCUGCCUCAGCCUCCCAAGUAGCUGGAAUUACAGGCUCCUGCCACCAUGCCUGGCUAAUUUUUUUGUAUUUUAUUAGAGGUGGGGUUUCACCACGUUAGCCAGACUGGUUUCAAACUCCUGACCUCAAAUGACCCGCCCACCUCAGCCUCCCAGAGUGCUGGGAUUACAGGCGUGAGCCACUGCACCCAGCCUCAUUCUUUAUUUUAAAUCUAAAUUUGCUUUACUGUGCUCAUUCCUGCUUGGUUGUCGUUUUUAGCUUAUCAUUUGAAAUUGAAGAUUAUCACUGCACAUAGUCUCAUGAGAAAAUGUUUCCCAUCAAGUUAAGGUCAGAUGGAGCCUGUGCCUGAUAUGGUAACCUGAACCAAGCCUAGCCCACCAGCUCUGCCCUGUGGCCUAUUUGCUCAGGCUGUGGACCGAGGAGGAGAGAGAGCAAUUCCUGGAAGACAGCUUUUUAGGACCUGUUGAGUUCGAGCAGAGGGUGUGUGUCAGUGGGAUAAGAGAUGGAUGAGGGAGAACAGGAGGAGUCCGUAGUCCUGUGGAUGCUGAGUGUGCGCCCAGCCUCCCUCGAGCCGGGUGUGGGAGCAGGCGGACCCUGCUACUCUACUCAACUCCUUAGAUCCACCUCAUUCAGUCCAAGAGAGAGGGAGGCCUUUGCCAAGUUUUUCCAGGUAAGGAGAGGGUUGCUUUCUCUGAGAGGACAUCAGCUCCUCUCAGAAUUGAAAGGUCCCUAAUGAGUCCUGUGCUGACCCCCAUCCCCUUCACCGUGAGAACAUGAUGCGCCUUCAGCCAGUCUGAGCCCGUCCUGCAGGAGCCGAGGGCCUAGGUAAGGAGAUCUGCAUGGUCAUUGGUUGUCAGCACUAGAAGGAGCACAGUGAUGUUCUUCCUGCAGUAUGCAAACAUGGGAUGAGAGAGAGCCUUCUGUGCAGCGCAGGACUUGUAGGAAAUGAGGCCUGGGGAUGGAGGAACUAGGUGUGGGCUACAGGAGGGUGGGAGGGUGUGCUCAGGGUGGGCAGGCCAGCCAUAGAGAAGCAUUUAAAGGUGUUCCUGACGGAAGGCGGUCAGCUUCCCCAAGGUCUUUCCACUCAGAGAUGGCCCAGGAUGAUUCUCAUUUUGCCUGUCAGUUUGCAUCCUGCCUCUGUUUGGGAUGGUUGUGCACCUGAACUUUCCUGGGCACAGGUAACCACCGUGUUCUCUGCCUCGUGUGGUGCGGACCCUGUGGCGUGCUUGAGAGGCUCUCAGCAGCCUGGCAUGUUCCCUGAUGUGUGUCUGGAGCUCCAGACACUGACCCUAUGGGGGCUCCUUGAUGGAGGAACUUCCCAUCUGGGCACAGUUUCCUCGCUGCAGCCUGAAGGUGCAGUACUUGGGCCAGUGGCCACAUCUCAGGUUAGUGAAGUCCACAGGUUGCCCCUUUAUGCACUACCGCAGGAUUUCUCUCCUGUGUGAUGCCUGCACCUGCCUCCGUCACCUUCAGCUUGUUGGUUUUGGCUCAGUGUCCUGUCCUGUGAAGGUGACUUUAGGUUUGGUUUGUCAUUCCAUCUCCUAGGUGUCUUCAGAUCUGGAUUAUGCACUUGUCUGGGGCACUAAGCCCCUUCCGGACCACCUCAGCCUUGGGGAGCAGGGGCAGAAGGUGGCCCACUCCUGUCAUGACACUAAGCUGUCAUGAUGUUUUCCUUCUUACUGACAGAGGUGACAUGAAAAACUUUGCCAUUUAGUUGGCUUACCAGCAAAGAACAUUGAUCACAUGUGUGGACAAAGCUGCUCACUUCCAGUUGUUCCAGUUUCGUGACCUUUCUGAGAGUCUGAGAGCUUCAGAUCAUUUCUGCAAAUUGUUUUGUUGUCUGGGGAGUUUUGGUGUCCCUUUGGUACCUGUUUGGUGUCUGGGAUAUUUGUCUGGGCAUUGAAGGUGUGAAGUUCAAGCGGUCAGGUGCCCUCUUACUGUUUCUUUUCUCAUCUUGUGUUUUAAGAUUUCUGGUUCAUAGAUCAUAUAUGUAUAUGUAUUUUUUUUUGCCAUACAGUAUGAUUUUGUAUAUUUUAAUAAUUUAGAUGAUUAUUUUGUAGUGGAUGAAUUAAGUCCUUUAUAUGAGGACAUGUUUACACUGUUACGUAGAAAAAGCAGGUUACAAAAGAAGAUGCAUAAUGUGGUUAUAAUUACAAAAUGAUUGGAAGAAAAUACAUGAAAAUGUUCUAAGUGGCUAUGAUUGAUAGUAUUACCAAUCACUUUUACUUGUUUUUGUUUUUUAAAUAUUUUCUAAAUUUCCUACAAUGGAUAUGUAUGAUACUCAGGAAAAAAGAUUAAUUUUUUAAAAGUUUAUACUCAUUGAUUUACUAAUUUCUGUUCUAGUAGUCCGUUCUAAGGAGAUAAUUAGAAAUGUAAAUAAAGAUCUUAUACACAAAGAUAUCCAUUACAGAAUCACUUAGAACAGAUUAAGUGGAAAGCCAUUGUGCAGUCCUGCAGGACUGUUAACUGGGCCAUACUUCCUACUGUGGAUGCUGAAAGUGCAUACGUUUAUGUUCUCUGUUUUUUUCUGACCAUAGAACAACAUAUGCCCAAGCCCUUGGCCGCUCCCUUUUACAAUUUUUAGCUGGACCUAGUUGAAAUAGUCUUAGCUUUCUGGUACUGCUAGCAUUUUGUUUAAACCAGUGAUGUAUUCUGCAUUUGGGAUUUUUAAUGGCGUUCUAGGCUGACGCAGCUGAUGUGGCUUCUUUCCUGGUAAGGUUCCUUUUUGUCUCAUCUGAGCUCGUUGGAGAGCUGUGCUUGUGGCCCGCUCUUUGUUUAUUCCUUUCUUUGUAUCUGCAGUUGCGUGAUGAGGUCUGCUGUUUGGUGACUGUCUGCCUGUGACGGUGCCUCUCGUGCAUGGGGGUUUGUUGGUUUGGCCUUGGCUCACCUCCUACUUUUACACCUUCUGAGGUGACACAACCACUUUCCUUCUGCCUGACUGAGCCUCCUUCUCCAUCAGAAUUCAGUCAGAGCAAAGCUCCCCAGUGACUUCCUCUGUCUUCUGAGAACUGCGAUCCAGGAGGGUGAGAAAAGCAUCAUUGCUAUGUCUGCAGACAGCAAGGCUGUGCCUAGGGCCUGGCCACUCCUGCCUUGUUGCGAAGCAGUUGGGAGAUCUGAGGGCCCGGACUUGCUCACACUUCCCUGUGGCCCUCACUGUGGGCCUCUAGGCAGCCCUGCUUCCCCUUUACAGGCAGUGAGGCUUGCCGUGCCUAUAGGGGUCUGCCCCAUGCACGAGGUGUGCCUAUCCCCACAGGCCUCCCCAUGUUCUGAGAGUUGUGUGGGUGUGUGACCUCCCCCAUGGCCCACACCUGCGCCUGCUUCAGUCCUGCAGAGGGCACCAUGAGAUCAGGUCGGAAUUGCUGAGGCUUGAGAAGGACAUGCCCCAUAUGGGUUAGACAAGGGGCCAGCACCUACUGCGCCCUGACCCCAGGCUGUCUCCAGUCUGGCCUCCUUGCUCUUGCCUGCAGAGUGCUGGGCUCCCAUCCUCCACAGGCAUCUUGGCGAUGUCACUUCUUCAUCCCGUGUCAAAUGGGCUUUGUAUUUCUAUCUGAGGCCAUACAUUCCCAGUGAAACCAAGCUCACCCUUGGGAGCGCCUCCUGUUGGAGCCCAGUACCAUAAGACCUGCUUCUUGUUCCCUCCAUGGUCCUCCGCAUCCUGGACAUCCCUUUCUGGGUUGCAGAGGUGGACUACAGCACCUCCUGCCCCUGGUGACUGACAGACCCUGGGCAGCCUUCUUCUCCGGCUGGGACAGAGCUGGAGCUGGAGCUGCGGGUAUAAGCUUCAGGUUAUCUCCUCAGCCUGAUGGAAGACUUGACCUUGGUCCUUGUCCUUUGACGGAUCUCUGGAACAGCCGAUUUUGUGGGUGAUACCCCUCCAGAGCUGGGUUCUUGGUUGAAUCAGGCCCCUUGGCACACGUUGCAGAUUGCUUUCCACAUGGCUGUGCCACCUGCCCUCCCGCUGCAGCCCAGGAAGAGAUUUUCGUUGAAAUGCUUUUUGCCACUUUUGUAAGUGAUGAGUUUUGUCCUUUAACUUUUUAAAUCUUGGGGUUAUUUAGUGUGUUUGUAUAAAUGCAUCACUCCUCUUGUUCUUCCUGUUGUUUGGUGUUUUCGGCUUGUUAGAAUCCUUGGUUUUCAUCUAAUUUUCCAAGGGGGAAGCUUCCCUGUUACCAAGACAUAAAGGUGCGGCUUGGGCUUUGGUUUAGUGUUGCUCUUGUUAAGAAACACCCCAGCCCUCAGACUGCAGAAGUAUCAAGUUCUUCCCUUCCAAUCUUAACCCUUUUUCUUCACUUUUUUUUUUGAAAUGGAGUUUCGCUCUUGUUGCUCAGGCUGGAGUGCAAUGGUGUAAUCUCGGCUCACCGCAAUCUCUGCCUCCUGGGUUCAAGCGAUUCUGCCUUAGCCUCCCGAGUAGCUGGGAUUACAGGCAUGUGCCACCAUGCCUGGCUAAUUUUGUAUUUUUUAGUAGAGACGGGGUUUCUCCAUGUUGGUUGGGCUGGUCUCGAACUCCCAACCUCAGCUGAUCUGCCUGCCUGGGCCUCCCAAAGUGCUGGGAUUACAGGCAUGAGCCACCACGCUUGGCCUUUUUUCUUCACUUUUAACAUUUUAUUCUAGAUGUUAAGAAGAAGGUAAGUUUCAAAUACCUGGUUUCAGAUACCUUUUUAAAGAGGAAUAGUGUCAUUAUCUCCAUAGCUGGUUAAGACCUGGUGAGCUGGCAGGAGCUCGGAGCCUGCUGGGGUGUUGGUUCUUGCCCACUCCUUCAUGGGAAGUCCCCCAGGUGGCUGUGUUGACCCCCCUUCCCCAGCCAUGGGUGCCCCUUGGACUCAUUGUGUCUUUCUGCUAAUGAGAGCUGCUACGGUGUUUUUUCACCUGUUUCCUGCCAGCUGCCUGCAUGAGGGUAGUGGGGCCCUGUGGCCUACGCAUUACUGAAGCCCUCAGCCUGGCACAUCUUGGGGACCACCCACCUCAGCCAGCCCAGCCUGAUCAGGCCCCUCACAUGGGGCAGUUGGCAUGGGCUGUAGAGGAUAGGUGAGCUGAGUGUGUCUGAGUUUUGGUAUUGAUGAAAACUGGCUGAUACUACGGUUCCUCUGGGGGUGUGUGGGUGGGUAGGUUUUGGAUGAUAAAUGGGUGGGUGGAGAAAGCAGUUUCCCUUGAAAUGGACAAAUCACUAUAUUCAGGUUUCCCUGGUUGGUUGUGGCUCUCGGGUUCCAUAAUGGGAAGAGAUAGCAGGAGAUUUCCUGUGAGUGACAGCAGGGAGGCCAAGCCACUGCUUUUGGAUGUGGUGGUGGUGGAAACGUGAGGAAGGAGCUGGGAGGGCCGAGCGGGAGGGCCGCUUUGGGCUUCUCUGCCCAGGCUUGGAAGGCCUGUGUCCAUAUUCUCUCCUGGGGGACAGCAUAGUACCCAGUGCCCCCAGCGCCUGCUGGCGACUCAGUAGCAGCGAGGAGCCUGGCCACCAGAAAGACACUGAGAACCUCCCAGCGUCCAGGCUCUCCUCUAAACUUGGCGUCACCCCACGCGACCUUGACCUUUGGGGUCAAGGCCUUGAUCUUGAUCAAAGCUUCUCUCUAGGCUGAGGCUGGGCCAGCAGGCGAGACUGGACCUGGGUUCUCUGAGACCUGAUCUGCCCUUGUGCAGUCUCACUUCCCUCAUUCUGUAAACUGGGACUCAGUUGCCCACCUUGGAGGGAGAGAUGGCUGGAGAUGGUGGAGUUUAGGAGUGUAGCGUGGGCCCUGAAGCACUGGUGCUAGCACCUGCUGGCUAUUGCAAUAAUAAUUAUUAAUAAGUGCUAGUGGGAAGAAUAAUGUUAUUUUAUUAUCCACAAGGACUGAGGACUAAGUCCUCAAUGAUUUAGGCUCUGACAUCUUUUUCUCCUGGGACCUGUGUAUGGUUUUUCUUUGUGUGGUGCCCUGUGCAACUUAUUUUUAAAAAAUUUUUCUUCAUAAGCCAGAUAAUGGCUUUCUGAAUUAACUUAUACUUUAUGUGAGUAGUUUUGUGUGUAAUAAUAAUGCAUAGGAAAUUUAUAAUUUCCAUUUAUAAAUAAACAAAAAGACCAGUUGUUCCCACCUUUCCUGGCAACAGAGUGGCAGGGAACUUCAGAAAGCUGAGUCUGUAUUAGCAGGUGAAUGCUGCCAGGGGAGGGGGAUCCUGUGUUCUUGUAGCUGGUAUUUCUGUUCAUGGGCCCACUGAACUCCUUCCUUUGAGGCUACAGUGGGGAAUUUCUGCAAAGAGAAAGCUCGUGUGUCUCGGCCUGGCAUCACCCUGCUCAGGACUGCUUUGCUACAAAAGUCCAUUGUACAGCUUAUGAGUUAGUUCUGUGAAUAAACCGAGACAGGCCUUGCUUUCCUGUAGAUGCUGCAGAGCUCUGUGCAUGCAGUCUGGCAGGUGAGUAAGCUUGGCCUCUGUGGGUGUCGGGGUUUGCCCUGUGUGAGGGACAGGGUGAGAGCUUGCACCAUGGCAGCCUGGGUCAGUUUACAUCGAUCAGGGAUUUCAUGUAAUGUAUUUUCUUAUUGUGUUGAUUUUUAAGCAUGACCCUCAAUCACACUUACACAUUGCUAGCAGGGCGUCGCUGAAUGCCUGCCAUCGGUGGAGAGCUGUACUGUGUUUGGUGCCUAAUUGUUGGAGGGCGGGUCAGGCACACUGGAAUAGCACACACCAUCAUGUCUACGUGAGGAGCAAAUGCACUUUUAGGGGAACGAACUUCUGGAGAGCUGUCUAGAGUUAGGACUUCUGUUGAUCAACUUCUGCCUUUCCUUAAAUUUUGGUGGAAUUAUAGUUCCAUUAAAAUGAUCCUUAGCCAGUCGAUUCCCAUGAUUGAUUGUUGAUGCCUGCCUUCAGCUUGGGAGGGGACAGCGGUAGCAUGCAUGCCAUUGAUCUUGGCUUCCCCAGGUCUCAGCUUGGGGCUCAAGGAGGGGACAGCUAUCUGCAGCACAGCGAGCCAGGAGCAUGGCAUUGGCUGGGAACUGGAGCUCAGUCAGAGGGGCCCAGGGGGCCGGGUGCCUAGGAUUUAAGAGUAACAACGUACAUUGUCUAAGUAGGGCUGUGGGGAGCGGGCAGGGCAGUCUGGCUUGGUCUCCAUAGGGCCUUUGUUGCUCCUUAGGCAUCUUUUGAUCUGGAAAACGGCCCUUUCUAAGCCGUCUUCAGUGCAGCCUGCUUCCUCCCUCCUGCUUAGGCUUUGCCCUGUGGCCUCAGCAGGGGCACUUCCCAGGGCAUUGGACCCCCCCACCUUUGCACUGCAGCUAGA